UCCCUGGAGGACUAGUGGUAAGGCCAUAGCGUUCUCAUCGCUGUGGCCCGGGCUCGAUUCCCAGCCAGAGAA